GACGAACGCUGGCGGCGUGCUUAACACAUGCAAGUCGAACGGUAAGGCCCUGCUUUUGUGGGGUGCUCGAGUGGCGAACGGGUGAGUAUCACGCGAGUAACCUGCCCUUGACUUUGGGAUAACUUCAGGAAACUGGGGCUAAUACCGGAUAGGAGAUCCUGCAGCAUGGUGGUGGCUGGAAAGUUUCGGCGUUUGGGGAUGGAAUCGCGGUUUAUCAGCUUGUUGGUGGGGUAGUGGCUUACCAAGGCUUGGACGGGUAGCCGGCCUGCGAGGGUGACCGGCCACAUUGGGACCGAGAAACGACCCAGACUCCUACGGGGGGCAGCAGUGGGGAAUAUUGCACAAUGGGCGGAAGCCUGAUGCAGCAACGCCGCGUGCGGGAUGACGGCCUUCGGGUUGUAAACCGCGUUCGCCUGGGACGAAGCGUGAGUGACGGUAAUGAGUAAAGAAGCACCGGCUAACUACGUG
rnacentral:rRNA from 1 species